rnacentral:snoRNA from 1 species
ACGACCUUACUUGAACAGGAUCUGUUCUAUAGUCUCGUACCUCUGUAUCCUUGAGUUCUAAGGAGACAGGAACCUAAGUCUGGUGGAUGAAUCGUGACCAUGCGACCAGAGCGUGAUUAAAGCAUGAAUGGUCUGGUUACUGGGCCAUCCAGCUGUAGAGGAUCGUUCCUGUCCCAUUUCGACUGGAUGAGAGGGUCGCGCGGUUGUCUGACAGACU